UGGCUCAGAUAAUCACGUGCUCCGGUGGUUCAGGUGAGUCACUCAGACAGGUGAAAUGCUUCCUUUUCGGCGUGCCACAGACUGACAGGUGGCUCUCGUGGCUCCUGCCCGCCUCCCCGUGAGAAAGGAAGCCGCGCUGAACGCGUGCGUAGCUUCGUCUGCAGAACCUGAAGAACAGGUGCGGCAGGUCAUUCCGAGCGCGUGCCUGCACCUGCGGGGCUGGGAAUGUAGGCAGAGGAGGAAAGGUCCGCGCGAGAAGUGUCAGCAUGGCGUUGGCCCCGCUCACCUCACCGGCGUUCACAUGUGCAGCAGCUUCCGUGCUCGCACUGACGUUGCUGCUGCUGCUGUGCAUCAUCCGGAAGAAAAGGAAAAUGGAGGGAAAGUACCAGCCAAGUGCAGAGGAGAGGAAGCAGUCGCGGCCAGAGAGGCCGGGCCUGCCACUACCCAAAGCGGAACGGCUGAUCUAAGGACUUCCUGUUACUGAAGGAGGGGCCACCAAGCUCCAACCUCUGAAUGCUAUAAUGUGCAGUAUUUAGAUUCCGAAGCUGACAAUCAUCUGUGAUGGAGUUACAUGCAUGCUAAUGUCUGGUUUGUGAAUGAAGAAAUGUAUAAAUAAUAAAAGUUCUUAUAUUUCUUAUA